UUCAAUGCUGGACGUCCUGUUAGUCUUGUUCGUAUGGUUUCUCCUGCUUAACCAUGAUGAGGUUGAUGCAAAUUGGGGAUUAUCGAGAAAGGAAGAGUUGAGAUUCAAGGAACAACUUACAAGUCUUAGUACGUCUGCAAUUAGAAGCAUCCACGAAGAUGGCGACGUAUACGACUGUAUUGAUUUCUACAAAUAGCCUGGUUUUAAUCACCCUUUUUGGAAGAAUACUACAUUUCAGAUGAAACGUAAAUUAUUUAUGGAAGGACUGCAAAGUAAAACGGAUUUGCCAUUGAAAAUUGGGCUAAAAGAUGACGGUUGUCCUUAUGGAACAGUUCCAAUUAGGAGAAUAGAUAAAGAUGAAGUAAAUUCAAAUUUAAAGGAAGAA